GUGCUCUACCCGACGCCUCGGACCUUCAUCACGAACAUCCUCCGAGUACAAGAUACUUCGGGGCAUCCCCUGAUGAAUAAAUACAAUUCCUUCGGGGCAUUCCCCGGUAAAUGAAUACAAUGUCAAUUUCGUGCGAUAAACUUGAAAACCUCCAACGCAUUCAACAUUCCAUGCAUUUAACCAAAAUAUCAUUCGUAAAUUUGCCUACCCGAACCUAAACUUUGUCUAUCCAUUUCAACAUAUCAUAAAUCUAUCACCUUUAUGCUUAUUUCGAAUUAAACAAAACGACAACAAACCAAAAUUAAUCUACAUUCAACUUUUAUCAAUUUCUUAAUCCCGCCCCUCCCCCCAAAUAAUUCCAUUCAAACACACAAACAGAACACUAUUCCACCGUGCAAUCCAUAAUUACGAAAAUCAAACACCAAGUCAAAACGAACAAUAAUUCACAUAAAAGUCGCAAUAAUUAUAAAGAAAGAGGGAAAAAUUGAACCUCAAAUGUUGCAUUCGAUUAAAUUGCUCCUUUCGACUGAAACCCCGCAAACGGAACCUCGGACCGAACCUCAACAAAAUGGCCAAAAAUCAGCUCCGUACCAAAUUAACCGCAAAAAUCUCAAAGUUUAACUCGAUAUCAAUCUGAACAAUCAAUUUUGAGAUGGUUUGGCGGCUGAUUCUAGUUUUCUCGGUGAUGGGUCGAGCUGACGCCUUUGUUUUCCGGUGAAAAAGCGUGAUUUUGGGUCAGCUAUUUGGAGAUAGUGACUGGAUUGGCGACGGAAUGACGAUUCCAGCACAAUUUUAGAUCCGUUCACGGGCCCCCCCCCCCCCCCCCCCACUCAAAAAAACCCCAAAGCUUUCUCCCUCUUUUAUCUGCAUUUUUACUGUCUUCGACGUCUCUCUCCGUUUCCGAUCUCGAUUUUGCUCUCUCUCUUCGUGUGUGCGUGUAUGAGUUUUUUUGGAGGAAAAGCUGCUUCUCCACUGUCUUUUCGCGUGAAUGAUGGUGAAUCCCCUCUCUGGAAUUAUCUAUUCUCUUAAAAAGAAGAAGCAAUCAGAAGACUCAAGAUGAAUUUUUUCCCUCACUGGUGUGUUCGUAUUGUAUAUAUGAUGAUUAGAGAAAAUGGGUAUUUUUUGUCAUGUGAACUGUGUGCUCCCUUUGUUCAAGAUGCUCCUCCUCCCCCUCUUUUUCCAAUGUGCGUAGUGUAUAUAUUAUAUUCCCUAUCUGUGGAAAUUGUUAGUGAGUGAAAUGUUGUGGAAGAGUGGAGUCAAUCCGUGGGCCCCUUUCUGUUAUGGAAAAGGAAUAAUAGUCUAUAGGCAUGGUAGGUGAUUAGGAUAAGAUAAAAUUGAUUAGAAAUUUUGUUGACUUUUUGUUAUUUUUAUAUUUUUAUGGGAUAUAAUCAAACGGGUGAAGGCAUGCAGUAAGAUGAGGGUAAAUAUGAUAAAAAUGUUAUCGGAGAGGGACGAAAUUAGAUGUCUACAUCAUGCCCCCUUUGAAUGUAAACACGAAGUGUUUUCAGACAAAGAAGUAGACAACAAGACAGAAUUUUGUCCCGAUCAUUAUUCAAAAGAAGAAACAGAAAGAAGAAGAACAACCGAGUUCUGACUUAAGUCAUCCUACCCACCCAAGUUAUGGAGGAAUCAAGUGACGAUGUAUCAAAGGAUUGGAAAAAAUGGACUAUACCGAGUUGGAGAGUCGAGUGAGGUUCCAUCGAGGUUCCGUUUCGCGGCUCUGUCAUUACAUCAAAAUGAAAAUUACAAGUUAAAAACAUAAAUGAAAUUACAAAAUCCUAUCUAUACAGCUUCUGUUGGACUCUUGACUUAAGUUUCAUCACCCUAUUCUUCAGGCGGGCUCCUGACUUGCAAUUUCAUCACUUGUUGCUUGGUCUUCAAUUGCUUCACCUUGUUGCUUAACUUUUCAUUUAUUUGCCCUGUGCUUCGGGCGGGAUCCUAACUUGCCAUUUCAUCACCUUGUUCUUCAGGUAGACUCCUGUCUUGCAAUUUCAUCACCUUGUUGUUUGGCUUUCAAUUGUUUUACCCCAUUGCUUAACUUUCAAUUUCUUUACCCUAUUCUUCAGGCGGGCUCCUGACUUGCUAUUUUUCAAUCUGUUAACUUUCAACUUUUCACCUUGUUGCUUGACUUUCAACUUCUUCACUUUGUUGCUUGAAUUUUCAUUUCUUCACCCUAUUCUCCAGGAGGGCUCCUGAAAUCACAUCAAAACUAAAAAGAAAAUUAUCCCAAACAAAGAUUAUUAUAAAGAGGUUUCAUUUUCCAGAAAAGUGAAGUUCCAAACACAAGAAUUAAAUUUUGCCCAGUUUAUCAUCAAAGGACUUUUGUGAAAUUCACAUCAUUAUAGGAAUCAAAGGGAAUGACUUGACUAAAAGGUACGUCUUAUAGGAAUCAAAGGAGAUGACUCGACUAAAAGGUACGUCUUAAUAGGAAUCAAGAGAGAUGACUCGACUAAAAGGUACGUCUUAUAGGAAUCAAAGGGAAUGAUUCGACUAAAAGGUAUGCCUUAUAGGAAUCAAGGGGGAUGACUCGACUAAAGGGUACAUCUUCUAGGGGUCAAGGGAAAUGACUCGACUAAAAGGUAUGCCUUAUAGGAAUCAAGGGAGAUAACUCGACUAAAAGGUGUAUCUUCUAGGGGUCAAGGGGAAUGACUCGACUAAAAGGUACGUCUUAUAGGAAUCAAAGGGAGAUGACUCGACUAAAAGGUACGUCUUAUAGGAAUCCAGGGAAAUGACUCGACUAAAAGGUAUGCCUUAUAGGAAUCAAGGGCUAAAAGGUACGUCUUAUAGGAAUCAAAGGGAAUGAUUCGACUAAAAGGUAAGCCUUCUAGGAAUCACGGGGGAUGACUCGACUAAAAGGUACGUCUUCCAGAGGUCAAGGGGAAUGACUUGACUAAAAGGUACGUAUUUUAGGAAUCAAAGGGAAUGACUCGACUAAAAGGUACGUCUUAUAGGAAUCAAAGGGAAUGAUUCGACUAAAAGGUAAGCCUUCUAGGAAUCACGGGGGAUGACUCGACUAAAAGGUACGUCUUCCAGAGGUCAAGGGGAAUGACUUGACUAAAAGGUACGUAUUUUAGGAAUCAAGGGAGAUGACUCGACUAAAAGGUACGUCUUAUAGGAAUCACAGGUAAUGACUCGACUAAAAGGUACGUCUUCUAAGGGUCAAGAGGGAUGACUCGACUAAAAGGUACGCCUUAUAGGAAUCAAGGGGGAUGACUCUACUAAAAGGUACGUCUUAUAGGAAUCAAGGGGGAUGACUCAACUAAAAGGUACGUCUUCUAAGAGUCAAAGGGAAUGACUCGACUAAAAGUUAUGUCUUCUAGGAGUGAAGGUUCAAUUUAAGAAGUGUAUCACCCAGCAAAUGAAAACUAAAAUCCCUGGACAGCAAAGUGUAUAAGAUAAUGAAUUUUUACCAUGAUUUAAUUAUCAAACCUGUGCAGCAACAUUGCUUCCUGCAUUUGUAAAAGCGAGAAAUUAGGGGCCUUGAUGUUUAGACUUUGAAAUCCUUGAUUUGAAGGUGACAUGUGUUCCUGUUUCAUGUAAAUAAAGGUUGUGAGUUUAAAAACAUGGUGGCUGGUUUGUGGAUUUGGCUUUCAUGGCAAACGCUCUUGCCGUCAUCACAUUUAACCUUGUUUCCAACCAUUAGCCUGUGUCAUUGACUUGCUGCUUCAUUGACCAAACUCAGAUUAUUAAGAGUGACUGAGACAAACACAGCAUCUCUGCUUUUGCCAUGCUUCUCAGUAGACCCCUUGGAACCUUGGUAUUUCAUGAGUUCCCAGACUUCUCUGUUGACAAAACUUCUACAUACCCUUUUUGGCUCACAAUCAUGUCUCUUUCAUGUGCUAGCUUUUGUCUUGCUUUAUGCAAUUAAUAAAGUUGGUAGCUAGUUUUGGAAUCUUUUCUCACUUGUUUUGACACAGACUUGACUCAAAGACAAGAAAAGAAAACAGAAUGACAAUUUUUAUUUCGAUAAUUGACUCAAAGAUAAACAAAAAUAAAGAGAAGAAAGAAAAGACAAUGAAUGUCUCCAUUUGAAACAAAGAAACGACAAAUUGAUCAAAAAAAUGACAGUCAACUCCAAUAAUUAUGCCAUGCAUUUUGGAUUAAGAAGCUUGAUCUUUUCAUCCAAAUUUUCUACCAAUUAUUGUUGAGUUAACAACCUUGAAACUGAGUUGCACUUUUAAGCCAAUUGCAUUUACGACCUCAUUCGGCUAGUGGCACCUUGAAGGGUUUUCACCAACAAGCCUCUCUCAUUUUUCUCUCGGCUCACCAUCGCCUUAUGGUGCCCGUGAGGGUUUUAACCAAUAAGACUCUCUCAUUUUUAUUUCUCUCUUGAUUCCUUAUGCUGAGGAAGACAAGUAGUUCCCAAAUGCAUCAUCAUAUCCCUUGCAUGUUUAGCCUUAACAUCCUCAAAGAUUGAUCUGAAGGUCUUUCUUUAGUUGUAACUUGGCUUUCGGAUAGGAUUAGAAAGAAAGGAUGACAUAAGGCCCAAUCGACACUUGAAGUGGGGUAGGACUUACAACUUUUGGAAUCAACUCAAACGAUGAGGAUUAGCUCAUGCCCUAGUUUCUUUUGACUGGACAAUUCUAACCUAUUUAUUUGGUUGGACCGAGCCCAUGGUAGGGCAGCCUACGUAUCUCACCCCCAAGAGGAGAAUCAGGUCACGUGUAGUUCUGGCAGCUUAUUCUUUUGAUUGAUUGUGAUUUUUUUGUUGUUUUUUUCUUUUGUUAACGCUUUUCUUUAUUUUUUUGGACAUAUUUUCUUCUUCUUUUUUGAAAUUUUUCUGACUCUAUUGCUUUACUCAACACUUUUCUUUUGAGCUUUGUUGACUCUAUCUUGAUUCCAAAAGAGGGGUAUGAAAGAAAAUAGGACUAAAGCUCAAAUGGGGUAAACAAAGGAUGGCAUGAUGUUUGGAUAACAGAAUGAAAUGCCUUGUCAUAUCAAUCCUUGAAAAUGCAAGUACAUAUCAUGCAAUAUGAAAUUACACGAUCAAUAUCACUUAUGACAUGUUUUACAACACUAACUUUCCCCGAACAUGUGUACCACCUCUUCUUCUACACUUGUCGAACUUACAACUCCAUCUUUGUUGUACAUCCCUCACAUUGAAUGACUCAUGCUUUUGUGGAGUUGGUUUUUGUUCUGCUCCUCGGGAGAACACAUCUGCCAUUUGACCUAAUUGAGCUAGGUUUUUCAAUUGAUGACCAAGUUAUUCUUGUGAUUCUCAAAAUAAUUGCCUUAAUUUUUGAAGAAAGCUUCAACUUGUCACCAAAUAUCUCAACACUCCACCUAUUUUCUCAGAUGCUUUCCCUAACUUUAGCACUCUGAUUCAAAGUUCAUGGUUAAGUUAGAUUUUAAGAUCUGGCUGAAAAUUUCGCUAGCAUGUCCUAUCACUAGAAUCAACAUAAAAUGUACUGUAUAAAAAAAAUAAACAAACGACACAUAUUUAAACACAAAGGGAAAGGGACAAUUAAUUUAGUUGAAAUAAAAGAUAGAAGGGUUUUAACAUAAACGACAAAGGGACAAAACAAGAUAGAUCCCGAACUACAAUUCUAAAAUAAUUCGAAUAACAGAAAAUAAAACAAAACAAACUACUGACCUCUUCCUAGUAGGGAGAGGGGAGACUUCUCAAUUGCUCAGCCUAGCAUCUUAGCCACUGGUUUACAUAUCAGCAUGACUAGUGUUUCCCUCACUGUCAAUGUUCUACACCAUAAUUGAUUCAUCUUGAAUUAUUUUUUCAAUUUCUCUUUUCAAAGCACAACAAUCUUUAAUAUUGUAACCUUGAACAUCAGAAUGAUAUGCACAUCGUACAUUAGGAUCAAAACUUCUUGAAUAUGGGUCAGGAGUAUAUCCAAGGAGAGGAGUGAUCAUGCCUUGUUGUACCAAUCUCUGGAAUAAAAUGGCAUCGGAUUCCCCAAUAGGAGUGAAAUUAUCUUUUUCCUUCCUCCUCUUUGCCAACUCUGGCCUCGGAUGAAACUUGGAUUUAGAGGUUCCUUGGUAAAUUUGUGGGGAUCGAGGAUGAUGUUGAGGGACAGGUGUAUGCCAUUGUGGAUAAGAAGAUGGAUGAGCAUACAAUUGUGCAUUGUUCAAAGGAUAUUUAGGAAGUGGAAUAGGAUUUCUUGGAUUUUGGGGAAAGAAACCUUAUUGCAAGUGGUUAUGUAGAUCUAAUAUGUAAGCUCGGAAUUGAGGCUGACAGUAUUGGUGGGUUGGACCUCUCAAACUCUGCUUUGGCCCCGGUAUGACAAUAGGUGUGUUUUCCUUCUUCUUUCCUUCAGUUUCCCUUGGUUGAUUGUAAUGUCGUCCCAAAUAUUUCACAGAAUCCUUCUGUCCGUCAGGCUCCCCAAAUUUUGAUGUCUUAAAGCUGGGAGGAAGGUUAACACUUGAAGACAUGCCCCAGUUUUUAUAUGAAACCUCUUCAUAGCCCAUAAGUCCAGGGGAAUUUUUCAUAUCAUUUUCUACACUCUUAACUUUCCCAACCACUUUCUCUAGCUCUUCUAGCAUGCUAGGCUUCUUAGAAAAAAUUUUGGUGGUCCACUUAAUUUAACGGUAGGCUCAAGAGUAUAACAAUGAUCAUCAAGAGUAUUGAACGUGGAUUCACUAGUGGACUAGGAAAGCACAAUCGUUGAAUUGAUAGCCAAAGUAGAAGUCUUAGUAGAAGGUUGAGCAAUAAAAGCACAACGGUAUGUGGUGCUGUGAAUGUGGUAGACUUAUACUGAGGAGCUAAAGAAAGAGUGGUGGAAGUAUUAAGGUGCAUUUGGCAUGGAAUGGAUUCUGAGGCAUGUUGUGGUGCAUCAACAACAGUAGGAAACUGACUUUGCAAUUUUGGUGGAAGACUCAAGGUAUUUGCAGGGUCAAAAGUGGGGAACGGAGGUGAAGGCAACCCACUGGACCAAGCUCGGUACAUUUUCAUCAUUUGUUGUCUCAGUCUCAAAUUCUCUUCCCUUAAACUCUCAAUUUUUCUGACUCUUUGUUUCAUCCAUGGUGCCACUCUCUAUAUUCUUGUUGGACACAACUAAACCUUCCUUGAUUUGGUGCGAUAUGGAGGACCAGCCAGGAAGCCACAAACCAACCACCUUAAACUAACUGAACAAGAAGCAACAAAUAUGUUAGAGUUCAACCUUUUUUCGAAACCUCUUUUUUUCUUGAAAAGAUCACCGAACCCAAAAAAAGCGCCUACGUAUCUCGCCCCCGAGAGGGGAGAAUUAGGUGUGCGUAGUUCGUGAAGUCGUGCCAAAAUGGCCAAUUGAACUCUUUGUUUUCUUUCUUUUUUUUUUUCUUGAAACUUUAAGAAGAAAAGAAAAUAACAAUUUGUCAAAAGAAUUGAUGAAAAUGUUUUUGAAUUUUUCAGCUUUAACAUCUCUAUGCAAAGUGAAAUCUAUGAUUACCAAAGAAAAUCUUUUUGGGUUUUCAGUUUUAAAUUUCAUAUGAAAAUGAAACUUGAACCUAUUAAAGAAAAAUCUUUUUGUAGUUUUAUUUUAGAGAUGUAUAUGAAACACCUACUCUAAGUGAAGAGUGAAGAAAAUAUUUUUGAAUUUUUUUAAAUACGAUCCCCGAACCAACAAUAGGCUACCUACGUAUCUCACAUCUCGAAAGAGGAGAAUCAGGGGUGUAUAGUUCGUUCAGAUUGGACAAUUAAGAAUUAUAGAACAAACAAAACCUUGACUUGAGAGACACGACUGCACGAUGAAAAUAAAAUCUUUUUGAAUUUUUAAUUUGAUACUUCAUACAAAAAUGACAUCAACAGCUAUGAAAGAAAAAUCCUUUUGAUAUUUUCGUUAUACGAAAUGUAAAAAAUUUCUAACAUCUUUUUUUUGGCAUUUUUCUUUUAUAAAAACUCCUAUGAAUGAAAUUUUUUUGUUUUGAAGUUUUCAAAUUAUGAAUGCAUGCUAAACGAGACAAAGGAAAAUCUUUUUGAUGUUUUUGAGCAAAUGAGUGCAAAAGGUAAAAAAAUCUUUUUGAAUUUUAGAAUUGUGAAAAACAAAAGCCAUAAAAAACUCUAAAAACUACGAAACUAUUCUUUUUUUUCUUUUUGACUCACUUUUUCUUUCUUUUUCCUUUUUUUUUUCCCAAUUUUUCCUUGCCUACACACUCUAUUUAAAUCUAGCACAUGCUUUCCCCCAAAUCAAUCCAUCAAAUGACCAUAUUACCCUUAAAGAUGCAACAUUUAGCACGUAGGGAUGCUUUAGAGGUGAGUCUCCUACAAAAGGCUACGUGGGUCCCGCUAGGUCUCAAUAUGAUGCAGAUAAGCAUGACCUAAAGGCUGACCUACGCUGAGGUUUACUAACAAGGCUGUUCGGGGGAGAGUAUGGUCGAUAGUGGAUUGCUUUAACUGUCCACCUACUCCAUACAACCCAACGGUUCCCCCUCCUAAAAUAAGGGUGACUCAACUAUAGGUCGUGUACACACGUGUACUACGGACUUGUUGCAGAAAGAAAGACCCGGGUUAUGCAUAUGAUGCUAGAUAUAAAGAGGUAACACAUAAAGUAAAGACUGUAAACAAAGAGCACAUAGGCACUCAACAAUGAUAAACAAUAACACAAAACAACACAAACAAAAUGUUUAUACGCCUAUAGUGCUAAACUAAGUCGAUACAACUCCAAAAUAAGCUCGAAUUCUGAAAAGUCCCCAGCAGAGUCACCAAAGCUGUCACACUCCUUUUUUAACUCCGAAAAGAUUUCAUUUUUAAGUUCGAAAGGGUUUUAUUAUUAAGUGAAAAAAGAUGAGAAUUUAUUUCGAAAAGGAUUAUUUACUUUAAAACUCAGAGUCGCCACUUGACAUAAUUGGGUGUGCCAAGUCACCUUUGGGAAUCCUUUUUCAAAACUGUUUUUGACUAUUUUAAACUGAUCCGCGAACAGAGAUUCCGGUAAAGGAAUUUUGUUGAUCGAGUGGAAGGUGUUAGGCACCCCUCGUUCCCGUAGUUCGACCACGGUCGCUUGGUGGAGCAUAUCGGCUAAUUCGACACUAAGAGUGUAUAAACCACACAAAAACAUACAAACCAAUCAAACAAACAAACAAACAAAUCCAAAAUUAUAGUGUCCAGUCCAAUUAUUACAAUCCAAAAAUAUAAAAAUACGGAAAUGAAAAUCCUAUUCUAAAUCAAUUCUAGACUAGUGCUCUACCCGACGCCUAGGGCCUUCAUCACGAACAUCCUCCGAGUACAAGAUACUUCGGGACAUCCCGGUGAAUCAAUACAAUUCCUUCGGGGCAUUCCCGGCAAAUGAAUACAAUGUCAAUUUUAUGCGAUAAAGUUGAAAACCUCCAAUGCAUUCAACAUUCCAUGCAUUUAACCAAAAUAUCAUUCGUAAAUUUGCCUACCCGAACCUAAACUUUGUCUAUCCAUUUCAACAUAUCAUAAAUCUAUCACCUUCAUGCUUAUUUCGAAUUAAACAAAACGACAACAAAUCAAAAUUAAUCUACAUUCAACUUUUAUCAAUUUCUUAAUCCCGCCCCCCCCUCCAAAUUAUUUCAGUCAAACACACAAACAAAAUACUAUUCUACCAUGCAAUCCAUAAUUACGAAAAUCAAACACCAAGUCAAAACAAACAAUAAUUCACAACAUUAUUCAUAUAAAAGUCGCAAUAAUUAUAAAGAAACAUUAUUCAUAUAAAAGUCGCAAUAAUUAUAAAGAAACAUUAUUCAUAUAAAAGUCGCAAUAAUUAUAAAGAAAGAGGGAAAAAUUGAACCUCAAAUGUUGCAUUCGAUUAAAUUGCUCCUUUCGAUUGAAACCCCGCAAACGGAACCUCGGACCGAACCUCAACAAAAUGGCCAAAAAUCAGCUCCGUACCAAAUUAACCGCAAAAAUCCCAAAGUUCAACUCGAUAUUAAUCCGAACAAUCAAUUUUGAGAUGGUUUGGCGGCUAAUUCUAGUUUUUCCGGUGAUGGGUCUAGCUGACGCCUUUGUUUUCCGGUGAAAAAGGGUGAUUUUGGGUCAGCUAUUUGGAGAUGGUAACUGGAUUGGCGAUGGAAUGACGAUUCCGGCACAGUUUUAGCUCCAUUCACGGUUCCCCCCCCCACCACCACCACCACCACCAAGUUUUCUCCCUCUUUUAUCUGCGUUUUCACUGUCUUCGACGUCUUUCUCCGUCUCCAAUCUCGAUUUUGCUCUCUCUUUCUCUCCGUGUGUGCGUGUAUGAGCUUUUUUGGAGCAGAAGCUGCUUCUCCCCUGUCUUUUCGCGUAAAUGAUGGUGAAUCCCCUCUCUGGAAUUAUCUAUUCUCUUAAAAAGAAGAAGCAAUCAGAAGACUCAAGAUGAAUUUUUUCCCUCACUGGUGUGUUCGUAUUGUAUAUAUGAUGAUUAGAGAAAAUGGGUAUUUUUUUUCAUGUGAACUGUGUGCUCCCUUUGUUCAAGAUGCUCCUACUCCCCCUCUUUUUCCA
rnacentral:lncRNA from 1 species